GAUCGCAAGACGGAAAAAAAAUCCAGCGUCUUUUAAAUUCGUAAAGAGCAACUCACUUGUUAACAUGUACAAAAUGAGUUUUGGGACCAGAAGCACGGGUACGAGACAGACGAUUUGAAGAACAACCCUCAACUUGAGCUGCUGGUCGAAUCGACUUCAAGCGUUGAGUGACAAAUUGUGUCUAUAUCAGGAGAGAAGCUCAAAGCUAAAGCUGCUGGUCGAGUCGAUGUCAAGCGUUGAGUGACAGAUUGUGUCUAUAUCAGGAGAGAAGCUCAAAGCUGAGGAAAUUCAGUCCUUCUUCGAAGAUAAACAGUAAACACUGAGUAACGAAGCUAAGGUCAUUGUGAAG